GUACACGCUGUGACUAGCAUAUCAAUAAGCGGAGGAAAAGAAACUAACAAGGAUUCCCCUAGUAACGGCGAGUGAAGCGGGAAGAGCUCAAAUUUGAAAUCUUAAAGGGUUUCCCUUUACGAAUUGUAGUUUAAAGAAGUGUUUUCUGUUGAGGUUUUGGUAAAAGUUCUUUGGAAUAGGACAUCAUAGAGGGUGAGAAAUCCCGUAUUUGACCUUUACUUUCAACUUUGUGAUACACUUUCAAAGAGUCGGAUUGUUUGGGAAUGCAGUCCAAAAUGGGUGGUAAAUUUCAUCUAAAGCUAAAUAUUGGCGAGAGACCGAUAGCGAACAAGUACCGUGAGGGAAAGAUGAAAAGAACUUUGAAAAGAGAGUUAAACAGUACGUGAAAUUGUCAAAAGGGAAGCGUUUGACACCAGUGUUGUUUUUCUGAAAAUCAAUUAAAGAACUGUUUAUGCUAAGUUGUUUAGACUUUAUCAGCUAACUGUUUAGUUUUGAGCUUUUCUUUAAUGCACUUUUCAGUUAACAAGUCAACAUCAAUUUCUUUUGCUGUAAAAAAGCUUGAGGAAGGUGGCUUGAGAUUCGUCUUAAGUGUUUAUAGCCUCUUGCCUAUGCAGUCGGAGAGAUUGAGGUCUGCAGCGUAGAUCCUUCGGGGCUAAAUGCAUUUGUGCUAAGUUAUAGCAUUUUAUAGACAACUUGUUGACUAUGAUUUGUCUUGUAGCUUACUCGCUUAUGUUAUUUUACCUACGCUUAGGAUGUUGAAGAUGUAGCACAUCAU
rnacentral:rRNA from 1 species